GUCCCACAGCAACGGGAACACCACGGGGACGUGGCAGUGUUCCUGUGACAUCACAGCAGCAGCUCUCGCGGAAACUGCCUGGGAGGUUCUCCUGUGUCACAAAGGAGCACAAAGAACCCUCCCAGGGCACAGCCUAUGGCCCAAAGAUCCAAGAGGAACUCUGAAAAUGCAGCAAACAAGGACACCCCAUAGCCCAGCCUGAACACUAAGGAGGAACAAGGAUGUGACCAGAGCAAGGGAAACAUAACCUUUAGGCACUGAUACUUCUGACUAAAACCAGCAAGCCGUGUUCCAUCUGGGAUCUUUGUUCUCGUUCUAAAAACAAACAAGGUUCUCCACUCUAAAUAUAGAGAAGGCAGGAACUGGGGAGGUGGUGGGAUUAGGAAGGAGGAGGAGGAGGGAGAGAGGAAAUGGAGGAGCAGGAAGAGCAGGAGCAGGAAAAGGAGGAGAAACAGGAGGUUCCAGUUCCCCCUGUGGCCACAGCAGCCUUGGCCCCGGAACCAUCGCCCCCACCUCAUCCUGCAGGUCUCGUCGCCCUCUGGCCACCGGUGUGCUACAAGGAAAGAAGAAGGGACAGCUGCUGCUGUGGACUCCAGUGACAGACUCUGCACGCCUCCUUCCUUUCGGCCAUCUAAGAACUGAGAGCUCACAACUGCGGGGGUGAGCUCUGUGUUGAGCCCCCCCGCUCCAGCUGAUAUUUUUAAUAACGAGCUGAACAUUAAUAAAGGCAUUAGCCCUGUUCAUUUCA